rnacentral:rRNA from 1 species
UGGGGAAUCUUGGACAAUGGGCGCAAGCCUGAUCCAGCCAUGCCGCGUGAGGGAUGAAGGCCUAUGGGUUGUAAACCUCUUUUCUCAAGGAGGAAGAUAUGACGUUACUUGAGGAAUAAGCAUCGGCUAACCCUGUGCCAGCAGCCGCGGUAAUACAGGGGAUGCAAGUGUUAUCCGGAAUCAUUGGGCGUAAAGCGUCUGCAGGUUGACUUUUAAGUCUUUUGUUAAAGCUCUGGGCUUAACCUAGAAUAUGCAAAGGAACUAUUUGUCUUGAGUAUGGUAGAGGUAAAGGGAAUUUCCAGUGGAGCGGUGAAAUGCUUAGAUAUUGGAAAGAACACCAACAGCGAAGGCACUUUACUGGGCCAGUACUGACACUGAGAGACGAAAGCUAGGGGAGCAAACGGGAUUAGAUACCCUGGUAGUCCCUGAGCGGGCUGGCAAGGCGCAU